rnacentral:rRNA from 1 species
AUGGGAACGCGAAGAACCUUACCUAGACUUGACAUCCCCUGAAUAACGUAGAGAUACGCGAAGCCCUUCGGGGCAGGGAGACAGGUGGUGCAUGGUUGUCGUCAGCUCGUGUCGUGAGAUGUUGGGUUAAGUCCCGCAACGAGCGCAACCCUUAUCAUUAGUUGCUACCAUUUAGUUGAGCACUCUAGUGAGACUGCCUGGGUUAACCAGGAGGAAGGUGGGGAUGACGUCAAAUCAUCAUGCCCCUUAUGUCUAGGGCUACACACGUGCUACAAUGGUGGGAACAAAGAGAUGCAAUACCGCAAGGUGGAGCUAAACUCAAAACCCCAUCCCAGUUCGGAUUGUAGGCUGAAACUCGCCUACAUGAAGCUGGAGUUGCUAGUAAUCGCGAAUCAGAAUGUCGCGGUGAAUACGUUCCCGGGUCUUGUACACACCG